UUUCACUUUCAGUACGCGUCCGCAAGCUGCGCUGAAUACGUGCGCGAAUUCGUUUGUUCGAUUUGGUUUUGGCUUUUAUUAUGCCUGUGUAUAAUUAGUUGAUGUGCGUGUGCUUUUUUUGUCUUUUCAAUUUUUUUUUUUUUAAUCGGCAAAGUUGUGCGGAAAAAACCUGUUCCUAGAUAUCCUGCUCAAGGACGGCAGCAGUUGCAAGCAUGUGCGUGUCAGAAGUUAUUGAAUGUUUUAAUUGAAUUUUACAGUAUUAUAUCUACAAAUAACCACUAUUGAAGAUAAUCAAAACUCAUAUUAAACAGUGCCUAAAUGUUGAAAUAAAAAGUGAUAAAAUAAAUUUUCAUAAAUCGAAAAAAUUUUCGUAUACCUAAAAAAAUGGAUCAUAACCAAAAGAACAACACAAGUGAAAACCCACGCGGUUCUGUAUCCUCCAUCAAAUCACUGGAGGUUCCGUCCACGCCUACAAGAUCACCUAAGAAGGUAUCAUUCUCAGAUGAUUUGCCCUUCAGUGAGACAACCGACAGCAUCGCUGUUGUACAAAACCUUAGCAGCAGCAAUAACAACGAUAGCAGCAGAGACAACAAUGUAGCAAGUAGUCUCAGCAACAAUAAAUCACCGACAAUUGUUACCGAAGAAGAGCUGACGGCCGUAAAUCACGUGCUGCUGCAAGCGGCUCAAUAUCUGGAACAAAUGCAUGGCACUCGUGAACGCCAAUCGCCAACAGUGGAGGCAACAGAGCCUACACACAGCCCACCUCAGUCGCAUCAUCAUUCGGAUGGUGAUAUCAGCACAACCAGCGUUCAUAUAAAUCUAAAGCAACCACCACAGAAAGUUAGACGUGCAGAAAAACGAGACUAUGGUGGCGGCAACGGCGACGGCGAUAGUGGAGCAGCGCUGUCAAAUGGCCGAGUGCAAGAAAUAAAUAUUUGCGAUGAAUUUGAUAAGGUGCAAGUGCAUAAAUUGCCAAACAUGAACACAAGUGCAAAUGAUAUAGCAACAACAGCAACAACAACAACAACAAAAGCAGCACCCGAGCUGAAGAUAGCAGCAGCAGUUAGUACAUCACCUGCUGUGCUUAAAUUGGACGACGCCGACGAUGAAUUCAACAGCAUUGAACAGUCGAAAACAUUGUUAUCGCAACAACAACAACAACAACAACAACAACAACAACAACAACAAACCAAAUCACAGCCAAUAGUUUCUAUAAACACCACACAACCCGCUACUACCACAGCUGCAACACGCAAAACAUUUACCACCUCCCUCAGCAAUUUGCAGUUGGAGCCAGUGGUGCAAGCGGAACCAACGCAACCAACUACCUCAGCACAAAUGCAAGAGAUAAGCGAAGAGCAAUCUCACGUGGCCAGAUACAUUGACCGCUACAACCUCAAUUUAGAUAAGAAUUUCAGUGCGAUGGAAGUGGAGGCGCGACGUGAAAAGCUCCGCUGGUUGCUCAUAUCCGAAUGUAGUGCGCUGCUUGCUGAGGGCAAACACACACGGGAGGCAUUCCGGAAAUUGGUGUUGCAAAGGGAAUUCCAACAAAAAUUCUUCCACCUAUUCGAUCUCGAAGGCAAUGGCUACUUGGUGCAGGAUCGUUGGAUUGAACACUUGAAAGGACGUUUAACUCCUUUGAAUUCAUCUUACAUAGAUCCUUGCGAUGAUAGACAAAUGGAUUUCGCCGAGCAACUCGAGUCUGUUGCGUAUGUAAUUUGUGGCGAAAAUAGCAAAAUUACGCCGAAAAACUUCACGGAAAUUUGGCAAGCGCGAGGUAUAUUAGAUAAAUUAUAUCGCCUCAUCGAUGCGGAUGGCACGAAUUUAAUAUCCACAAAUCAAAUAAUGGAAUUCAUUUCACACCUGACCAAUUCACGGCCACGCACCGGUUUUGAUAAGAGUUCCUUGGAGCGUCUGGAGCAACUCUUUCGCAGCACUGUGGGUAAUGAGCAGGAGAUACGGCGUGAAGAAUUUCAGAAAAUUGUUACAUCGAAAAAUCCAUUCUUUACUGAACGUGUCUUUCAAAUAUUCGACAAGGAUAACUCAGGUUCGAUAUCUUUACAAGAGUUCAUUGACGCCAUUCAUCAAUUCUCUGGUCAGUCGGCGGAUGAUAAAAUACGUUUCCUUUUUAAAGUUUACGAUAUUGACGGCGAUGGCUUGAUCCAGCACAAGGAGCUACACGAUGUGAUACGCGCUUGUAUGGAAGAAAACGGUAUGGAAUUCUCUGAAGAACAGAUUGAAGAUCUGACGACAGCCAUGUUCGAAGAUGCGGAUCCUUAUAACCGCGGUGAAAUUACUUAUGAAGCUUUAAAGAAUCAAAUAAGCAAACAUGGCGGCUUAUUAGAGAAUCUCAGUAUAACCAUAGAUCGUUGGCUUGUUCCUAUAACUCAGGAAAAGCCGAAGCCAAAACCUGGUUGUCCCACUUGUCGCAUUACCUGGCCACAUCAGCUCACAAUGGCCUACAUGAAGAAUAAUCAAGCCUUCGUUUCGUAUUUGUACAUUUACAUUGCUAUAAAUUUGUGCCUUUUCAUAUCGCGUGCCAUACAAUAUCGAGCGAGCAAUGGUUUUGUCAUCGUUGCACGUGCAUGUGGACAAUGUCUUAAUUUCAACUGUGCCUGGAUUUUAGUGCUGAUGCUACGGCACUCUCUCACCUAUCUACGUUCGCAGGGUCUCUCCUCCUACCUGCCCCUAGAUAACCAUAUUUAUCUGCACAAACUAACCGGAAUUGUGGUAUCAAUACUCAGUUUGCUACACACCAUCGCACAUCUCUUCAAUUUCUCCAUAAUUGUCGUGAAUGAUCCGAAAAUAAAUGCUGGUCAUUAUACGAUUGGUGAAUGGCUACUUACGGACCGUCCCGGUUUGUUUGGUCUUAUACCGGGCUGUGCUAAUCCCACUGGGUUGGCAUUGCUCAUUAUCAUACUGAUAAUGUUCAUAUGUUCGCAGCCAUUUGUGCGGCGUAAAGGUUCCUUUGAAGUCUUUUAUUGGACUCAUCUCUUGUACAUACCUUUUUGGAUACUGUUACUAUUUCACGGUCCAAAUUUCUGGAAGUGGUUCUUGGUGCCCGGUCUAGUUUAUAUUGUGGAGCGCAUAUUACGUUUUGUCUGGAUGAAGAGUGAACAUGGCAAAACUUAUAUCAGCUCAGGUCUGUUGCUACCCUCAAAGGUUAUACAUUUGGUUAUCAAACGACCGUUCAACUUUAAUUUUCGUCCUGGUGAUUAUGUCUUCGUCAAUAUACCAGCUAUUGCCAACUAUGAAUGGCAUCCUUUCACAAUUAGUUCGGCACCCGAACAGGAAGAUUAUAUGUGGUUACAUAUACGUACUGUAGGCGAAUGGACCAAUCGUUUGUAUCAGUAUUUCGAGAAGGAACAACAGAAACUACACAAGGGCGAGAUCAUACAGCAACGACAUGCGAUACCAACCGAUAUGGUGCGCAUAACAGAGAAGAAUGAGUCGAGGACCUCACCAACACCACAAAUCGAUUUCCUAGCACAAAACCUGGCACGCCUACAAAACAAAACGAAUGGUAAUGAACCAUCAUUGCUGCUCGCGAAUAAAAGUGCAAAUCAAAUGCAAAAUGUUCCAUUGAAACCCGCACGACAAACACAAGUCCCAUCAAAAUUGGCGCUGGAAAGCAUUAGCGCACGCGAUGAGAUUGACACUUCGUCAGCAAAACCUAACGACCGUAUACGGAGUAUUAAGAAGACACUACAACGCACCUUCUCGCGAAAGGAUGUGCCAACGAAAAAUGGCUCUGGUGGUCAUACGAACGAUGGCUUCGUCGCCGAUCAAGUUGAUUCCUACCAAAAGCCACUCGAUAAGCGAGUGCUUAAGUUGAAUUCGCGUAAGCCACAACUCGAGAAGAGUCUCUCACUGCCAGAUAUAGCUGUAAAAACAAAGAAGAAGGAACGUCUUAAAGCUCUUCGCGCACUUGGCCGUUCCGAAUCUGAGAGAUCUUUUGAUGAAUCACGCGUUAGACGAGCGCGUCUGCAGAGUGUCGGUCUAGCCUAUUUAAGCCCACAAAAUAAAUCGCUGGCACAAAGUUUCCGUUAUAUGCGUAAUAAGCCGACGAUAAUCGCUUUCAAAACGCCAAGCUUAGAAGAAGCCGAGCCAGAUUUUACAUCCAUUGCAAGAGAAAAUGGGGAUACUCUUCGGGAAUUGGAAGAAGGAAAGGGCAAUGGAGUCGACAAAACCAUAAGCACCGUAUUAGAUGUCCCAGAAGAGAGCGUAUCCAAGCCUCUAGAAGCCGACAUUUUUGCGUUCCCUCUCAACAUCCAUCAAAAAUCGCGGUAGCCAUGGCAGUUUACCACCACAGGGCAACCAUAACGCUGGUAGCAAGGUUACACUAGAUGCGGGCGUAUUAGAGAUUUUCAUCGACGGACCAUAUGGUGCACCAUCCAGUCAUAUAUUUGGUGCUCAACAUGCCGUACUCAUUGGAACCGGUAUUGGUGUCACACC
rnacentral:misc_RNA from 1 species